AUGGCGUUGGCCGAUGUCCCUCUCAGUCUCUCCCCCUCCUCUCCCCACCGCGCCGGCCACCACGUGCGUCUCCCAACUACGCCGCCGCCGCCGCUGCCGCCGCCCUCCUGCGCUGUUGCGAAGGAGGCAACCACCGCCGCCCACCUGCGCAGCUCAACAACCGCCGACCCACCUCGCCCACCGCGGUCCACAGCUGGACCACCUCCUCCCCGAGGAGACCAGGAACUCCGCCUCGCCGAGAGCUACGCCAUCCUCGAGCCGUGCUUGCUGGGGAGCCGUGGAUCGACGGAAUCGCUCCCAUCUCCUCCCACUCGCGCCUCCCCUAUCUUCCCCGAUCCAUUCAAAAGAAUUAGGGUGCCCCGCCGGUGUAGUGGUCCGCCGCUCGUCGCCGCUGGAGGUCCGCUGCUCGCCACCUCCCCCCCUCUCGAUUGCUUGCUAUGCAGCCUGGGCGUCGUGGUCCACCGCUCGCCGCAGCUGGAUGGCUGGAGGUCGUCGGCACCCAAGUACCGCCCAUGCUCUGGCGCUUGCACACCGCCGGCCCUGCCCCAUCCCACCCUCCGCCACCACCUUCCCCACCCCGAGCUCGGAUUUACGACGCCCACUGCCUUCCAGUUCGAGCUCCGCCUCGACCUCAUCCCUGCUGCCGUCGUCUUCCCUGAACCAAGGAAGCCCUCAUCUGAUACGCUCUCGUCCGCGACGUGCUUCUCCAACCAUUGGUACGCGACGGUGGUUCGGUCCGGGAGGUGGCUCCUGCAAUCCUGGCGUCGCCGCAGCAGUGGUUCCAUUCCGGCGGCAUCAGGGGAGCACACAACGUCCACGAGCAGCAAGCAGAGCCGGCCAAUCGGCCAAUGA
rnacentral:rRNA from 1 species